rnacentral:rRNA from 1 species
GAUGAACGCUGGCGGCGUGCCUAAUACAUGCAAGUCGAGCGAACAGAUGAGGAGCUUGCUCCUCUGACGUUAGCGGCGGACGGGUAAGUAACACGUGGAUAACCUACCUAUAAGACUGGGAUAACUACGGGAAACCGGAGCUAAUACCGGAUAAUAUAUUGAACCGCAUGGUUCAAUAGUGAAAGACGGUUUUGCUGUCACUUAUAGAUGGAUCCGCGCCGCAUUAGCUAGUUGGUAAGGUAACGGCUUACCAAGGCAACGAUGCGUAGCCGACCUGAGAGGGUGAUCGGCCACACUGGAACUGAGACACGGUCCAGACUCCUACGGGAGGCAGCAGUAGGGAAUCUUCCGCAAUGGGCGAAAGCCUGACGGAGCAACGCCGCGUGAGUGAUGAAGGUCUUCGGAUCGUAAAACUCUGUUAUUAGGGAAGAACAAAUGUGUAAGUAACUAUGCACGUCUUGACGGUACCUAAUCAGAAAGCCACGGCUAACUACGUG